rnacentral:lncRNA from 1 species
UGGCCUUUACUUCCGAUGCAAGUUGGUAUCGAGCCUUCAUGUGUUUAAUAUAGCAAGUGAUCUUAUGUAAGGUACUGUAGAAUUUGUCCCCAUGAUCAUGUCCUAACCGAAGCAUAAACUCAUCGAGCGUAUCUUCAAUUUCAUAAACAACAUCUCUCAAUUGCUUGACCCAUUUGUUAACUUCAGGAUUGCUAGCUUCAAUCGCAUCAGCAGUCCUCAGGAAAGAUUGCAUUUGCUCCAAUUCACUUCUGAUGUGGUCUAGCUCUCCACGAACGCCUCUCAACACCUCAACCUCUUCAUGGAGUAAAGAUGCAAGCUUCUCGAUCAGAAAAGUAACUGCACUCUCAGCCAUUUUCCUUUACCUUACACUGAUAUCUUUCAGAAAUUUUGAAAGAAAAAAGUUGAAUUGCAAGUUUUGUGGUGGCUUGUGAAACUUCGAAUCCAACUUAUAUGAGAAUGCUUCAGUUGAUGAUAGAUUUCAAUUAAAGUCAAUCAUCUGUAGAGAUGACAUUAACCAAUAAAUUAUUCUUAGUUGGAGCCUCUAUAUAAUUAAUUAUUGUUUAACAGUUUGGUGAAUUACUCUACCAAUUGUAAUUGACCAAAUUGUUUGCUGACUUGGUCUGAGGUUUGGGAGUCUUUCCUUGUCUCAUGUCAACUUUAAGCACAUUGAUUCACAUUAUAUAAUAAUCAAAAGAAAUCUCAUUUUUUACCUCUGUAAUUUUGCUUAAAAUUAAGUUUUUUUUUUCUAAAUUUUCUUUUUUAGCAAAUUAGCCAAUUUUUGGCUAAAAAAAAUUAAAAUAAUAAUUUUUCAGGUUUUUAUAUUUAUAACUUUUGGUAUUAUAAAAAUUAUUUAAUAAUAAAUAAUAGUUAUUUUUUAUUGUAAAUUUAUGUUUACAAUAAUAAAAUAAAAAUUAAUAUUAAAAUUUUGAAAUUUUUUUAUUAUAUUUAUUUAUUUACAAAUUUACAAAAAUGAGCUAAUUUGAUCCUUAAAUCAAAAUUUAUCAAUAGAUUAGAAUAAAAAAACUUGUGGGAAAAGUUGUACACAAAAAAAUAAUUUAAUUCCUAUAGUAAUCAACUGCCUCUUAUGAAUGGCUGGAAAUUUUAUUUUACUAUUUUUUUUUCUAGGCAGAACUGGUUUAAGCUAUGAUGCAUAUUUAUACAAAGGGAAGAAUCAGCGAAAGGACUUCAUUCAUACAACACAUAUAUUAAUUAUGCAACUUGAACAGUGACAGCAUCUGUUUCAAAGAAAAUAUGGCCCCACACUAUAGUCUAUAUGCAUAUAUGUACACACAUUUAAAAAUAGUUCUUGAAGAUAAUUUAGAGUAAAAUUUUAUUAUGAUGAAUGAAAAUUCUGUAAUAAUAAAAUAAAUUAAUUAUGAUAAAUUGCUUUUUAGUAGAUGUCCCACUAACUUCAAAAAUUUCACAUGAUACACUUGACUAGUUAAAAGUGGAAUUAAGUUGAUUUUGCAAUCCGUAUUUCAGUAAGUAGCAUGAAUAUUUUAAAAUAUUUUUAAAUCAUUUUAAACUUAAAGAGAAUAUUCUUUUUUAAUGUAAAAAUUAUAGAACGAGUUUCAAUAUAAUUAUUAUUACAAUUAGAUUAUUGAUUGUUAGAGGUAAAAUUACACAAUAAUUUGAGUGUCGUGUAUAUAUGUUAAUUAUAUUUUUGAAUAGUUGAAAUGCAUUCUAGAAUGUUUUCAAAGUUUAAGAUGUUAAAAUUUCUUUUUUUUAGUAAAAUCUAGAGUGCAAAUAUGUAUUUAGCUUAUAUAUAACACAUAGUCGAUUCUUAAAGUUAGAAUGAUGGAAAGGAGAGAAUAAAAUCAUAUGAGGAGAUCUAUAUGGUUCGGCUACGGGAGUCUAUAUCUGUACAUAUAAAUAUCAUAUUAAAAUUAGACUAAUAGAAAAAGAAGGAAAGAUUUAUGUAGUUUCACUAUGAAAAUAUAUCUGUUGAUAUAAAACCUCAAAGCGGUACAUCUAUAAUAAUAAUAAUAAUAUAUUAAAUUUUUAUAUUUUAAAAAUAUGAAUUCUAUAGAAUCUCAUCAAUUCUAACAGACAGCAUUCAUUACUUAUUAAUAACUUUAGUUUCAAAUGAACUUUCACACCCUCAAAUGGAACGGUUUGUUGUUUAGGGUUCAGAAAAUUUUGGUAAAAUGUUUAAUAUAGCUAAAAUAUUUUACAUUUAAACUCAAUUUAGUUUAAUAAUCAUAUUUUUUUCAGACUAAAUUUAUUGAUUUCUUAAUUUAGCUUAAAAAUUAACAAAUUUGAUUUCUUUAUUUUGGAAUGAAUUCCUUAAUUUCUUGAUUUAGCCUAAAAAAGGCUUAAUUGAAACGUUUGGAUCAAUUUACAUAAAAAGUUGAAAAAAAAUACUAAAUUGAAUUUCUCUAAUAAAUUAAAGGUAAAUUUAAGUAUUAUGUUGAUAAAUUUCAAUUAAAAUUGAAUUAGAUUUAACAAAAUUCAAGUGAAAAUAAAGUUUUUUGGUCAUUGGGUGAUCACAAUUAAUGUGGUCAAACUGAAUACUAAAUUUGGUUUUGAUUUGAGGAUGUGAAAAUUAAAUAAAAUUGAACUGAACGAAGAUUCAAUUACCUGUACACUUAAAUAAUUUAAUAUUUGCUCUCUUGAUAAUUUGAUAUAUAUUUAUGAUUUUAUUAAUUUUUACUUUUGAGAUUUAUGAUUUAUUUGAGUAUGUUAUUCAAUUUUGUAUUAAAGAAAUAUUUUGUAAUAUUAUACUGGUAAUAAAUAAUGAUAAUUUUAAAAUUUUAUAUUAAUAUAAAAUUUAUAUUAUAAAAUAUUAUUUUAACAUAAAAUUAAAUUAUAUAUAUUAAAAUAAAUCUCGUAUCACAAAAUAAAAAUUCGAAAAUUCACGUAAUACUUUUUUUAUUCUUUUCCUAAGCAUAAAGUUGUAGAUUUAUGUCUCCUUCUAUGUGCACAUGCUAUUGCCAUGCACGAGGGGUUUGAGCUUGAAUCGUUUAAAUUUUAAUUAUACAAUUAAUUUGUUCAAAAGUUUAAAUUAAAUUAUUUUAGAGUAUAAAUUAUUUAAUGUUAUUUCAAUAAUUUAAUCCAAUUAGUCCAUAUGUUAAUUAGAAGUAAUCUAAUUGGUCCAUUAUAUCUUUAAAGCACAGAAAGUAAAUGAAAUAAUCUUUUCAUUUUUUAGAUUAAAUUAUCAGUUUAGUCCUUCUAAUUUAAUGAAAUAUCUAUUUUAAUUUUUAUAUGUUUCUAAAAUUCUACAAUUUAAUUCUCAACUAUAAUUUAGUAAUUUAGUCUUUACCGUUAGAUUUUUAGUUAAUUCAGUUAAUUAGUUUAUUAUAAAGAAAAUAACCAAAUUACUCUUUAGUAUAUAUUUUUAAUCUAAAAUAAUAUAAUCUCUUAGAUUUAAUUAAAUUUACACUAUAAUUUCCUAUAAUUUUUCAAAUCGAUACCUAUAUUUUAUAAUUAUUUAAGGACAAAAUAUUAAAAUUAAUCCCUACAUAUUUAAUUAUUUAUAAAUAAUCAUUAUAUUUUACGAUUGAAUCCUAUUUGUGAAAUAAAUUGCUUUAAUUUUAUAAAUUAAUCUCUAAACAAUUAUAAUAUUUAAAAAUAAACUUCAAUUGAUCAUUUAAUAUUAUAGUUAUUUAUCAAAGGUCUUAUAUUUUUAUAUUAUAAAUAUUUACAAAUAAAUCAAGAAUAUUGAAAAUCAAAAUAAAUAAAAAAAAAAAAAGUUUAAUUAGGAAUUGACCGAACUUGGGACAAAUCAACAUAUAAAAGAACUUCAAAAUGAUGUAGUAUUAAAUUUUGAUUCGAUAUAAUUUUUUUUCGAUUUUAACAUACACAUCAAUUAUAUUGAUCGAACUGAAUGAUUUUUUAAUAUGAUUUUUUUUUAUUUUGAAUUGAAUUAGGAAAAUCAAAAAAUUGAAAAGAGAAUUUUUGAACACCAAAAUCAAAUUGAAAAUAGAUGGAAUUGAAUUAUACCGAUUAUCGGUUCGGUCCAUAGGUUCUAUCAUGCUCUAAAUUCCCAAAAACAUAGAAACACUAUUUCUCAUUGUGGAACAAAAUGUUCAAUAUUCCGCAAUAGUUCAAUUUCAUUCAUCGUCGAAUCCUGUUAAUAAUCAUCCACAACAACAAUAUUUUUUAAAUGAAAUUAUCUAAAUUUACGAAGAACAAAAAAAUAAAUUAAUUCAAUGUAUAAGAAAAUAUAAAAUUUUCAAGUUUUUCAAAAUCAAAAUCAAACCAUGAAAAUUUGCUUGCACAUUGUGUCGGAAAUCAUCCAUAACAAUAAUAUUUCUUUAAAUGAGAUUAUCUAAAUUUAUAAAGGACAGAGAAAUAAAGUAAAAUAAAAUUCAGUGUAGAAGAAAAUAUAAAAUUUUCAAGUCUUCCAAAAUUACAAUCAAACCACUAAAAUUUGUUUGCAAAUCUAGAAGCACGAAGAGAAAGAAAAAGAAGAAGCAUGAGAGAUGCAGAUCUAGAAGCACAACAAAAGCGUGUUGUUCUCUUUAUUUGCGGGGAGAAGAAGUAGCUUAUGAUGAGGUAUGAGGAUUUAGUUUCCUUUCAUUUAUCGUUCUCUUUGAUUGGUUGACACUAGGAUCACGUUUAGGGGAAGAAGAAACACG